rnacentral:rRNA from 1 species
AGAGUUUGAUCCUGGCUCAGGACGAACGCUGGCGGCGUGCUUAACACAUGCAAGUGGUGCGACGAACCAGGGCUUGCCCUGGGGCGAAGCCGCGAACGGGUGAGUAACACGUGAGUAACCUGCCCCGAUGACCGGGACAACCCGAGGAAACUCGGGCUAAUACCGGAUGUGGCGCACAGGUCUAAGCCUGUUCGCUAAAGGAAGCUUCGGCCUCCGCAUUGGGAGGGGCUCGCGGCCCAUUAGCUUGUUGGUGGGGUAACGGCCUACCAAGGCAACGAUGGGUAGCUGGUCUGCGAGGACGAUCAGCCACACUGGGACUGAGACACGGCCCAGACUCCUACGGGAGGCAGCAGUGGGGAAUCUUGCGCAAUGCGCGAAAGCGUGACGCAGCAACGCCGCGUGGGGGAAGACGGCCUUCGGGUUGUAAACCCCUUUCAGGAGGGACGAAGGUUCGCCGGUGAAUAGCCGUGCGGAUUGACGGUACCUCCAGAAGAAGCUCCGGCUAACUACGUGCCAGCAGCCGCGGUAAUACGUAGGGGGCAAGCGUUGUCCGGAAUCAUUGGGCGUAAAGCGCGCGUAGGCGGCCCUGUAAGUCCGUUGUGAAAGUCAAAGGCUCAACCUUUGAAAGCCGAUGGAUACUGCAGGGCUAGAGUCCGGAAGAGGCGAGUGGAAUUCCUGGUGUAGCGGUGGAAUGCGCAGA